GCUCUGGCCUCGAGGAG
rnacentral:miRNA from 1 species